UUGUAGCCAAAUUGCCAAACAGCCAAUGAAUCAUUAUUCAUGACCAUGAAAAAUAUCAAUUGAUAAUAGCAUCCGUUAUGAAUUGCUGGGAAAAGCUACUGAUUUUCAUUCUUUCGCUCUUUCUUUCAUCGCUCUGCAACCUCCAUUCAUUGCUCUUCCAAUUUCUUACUCUCACUUCAUCGCUCUCUCUCAGGUUCUUUCAAUCUCCACUGUAUUUUCAGAGCGCGUAAAUGGUUUUGGCAGCUGUGUGAGUGAGAAAGUAGCCACAAUGGGCAUAUGGUGAAGCAAAGAAGCAGCUAUGCAAUGAUGUUACUGCUUUACAUUGUAUUGG